UACGUAGGGGGCAAGCGUUGUCCGGAAUCAUUGGGCGUAAAGAGCGUGUAGGCGGCCCGGUAAGUCCGCUGUGAAAGUCGGGGGCUCAACCCUCGAAUGCCGGUGGAUACUGUCGGGCUAGAGUGCGGAAGAGGCGAGUGGAAUUCCUGGUGUAGCGGUGAAAUGCGCAGAUAUCAGGAGGAACACCAAUUGCGAAGGCAGCACUCUGGGACGUGACUGACGCUGAGACGCGAAAGCGUGGGGAGCAAACAGG
rnacentral:rRNA from 1 species